GGAUAACCUACCCUUAGGACUGGGAUAACCCUGGGAAACUGGGGAUAAUACUGGAUAGGCAAUUAUUCCUGUAAUGGUUUUUUGUUUAAAUGUUUUUUCGCCUAAGGAUGGGUCUGCGGCCGAUUAGGUAGUUGGUUAGGUAAUGGCUUACCAAGCCUUUGAUCGGUACGGGUUGUGAGAGCAAGAGCCCGGAGAUGGAACCUGAGACAAGGUUCCAGGCCCUACGGGGUGCAGCAGGCGCGAAACCUCCGCAAUGUGAGAAAUCGCGACGGGGGGACCCCAAGUGCUAUUCUUAACGGGAUGGCUUUUCAUUAGUGUAAAGAGCUUUUGGAAUAAGAGCUGGGCAAGACCGGUGCCAGCCGCCGCGGUAACGCCGGCAGCUCUAGUGGUAGCAGUUUUUAUUGGGCCUAAAGCGUCCGUAGCCGGUUUAAUAAGUCUCUGGUGAAAUCCUGCAGCUUAACUGUGGGAAUUGCUGGAGAUACUAUUAGACUUGAGAUCGGGAGAGGUUAGAGGUACUCCCAGGGUAGAGGUGAAAUUCUGUAAUCCUGGGAGGACCGCCUGUUGCGAAGGCGUCUGACUGGAACGAUUCUGACGGUGAGGGACGAAAGCUAGGGGCGCGAACCGGAUUAGAUACCCGGGUAGUCCUAGCUGUAAACGAUGCGGACUUGGUGUUGGGGUGGCUUUGAGCUGUCCCAGUGCCGAAGGGAAGCUGUUAAGUCCGCCGCCUGGGAAGUACGGUCGCAAGACUGAAACUUAA
rnacentral:rRNA from 1 species